GAUGAACGCUGGCGGCGUGCCUAAUACAUGCAAGUCGAGCGAAUGGAUUAAGAGCUUGCUCUUAUGAAGUUAGCGGCGGACGGGUGAGUAACACGUGGGUAACCUGCCCAUAAGACUGGGAUAACUCCGGGAAACCGGGGCUAAUACCGGAUAACAUUUUGAACCGCAUGGUUCGAAAUUGAAAGGCGGCUUCGGCUGUCACUUAUGGAUGGACCCGCGUCGCAUUAGCUAGUUGGUGAGGUAACGGCUCACCAAGGCAAGGAUGCGUAGCCGACCUGAGAGAGUGAUCGGCCACACUGGGACUGAGCCACGGCCCAGACUCCUACGGGAGGAAGCAGUAGGGAAUCUACCGCAAUGGACGAAAGUCUGACGGAGCAACGCGGCGUGAGUGAUGAAGGCUUUCGGGUCGUAAAACUCUGUUGUUAGGGAAGAACAAGUGCUAGUUGAAUAAGCUGACACCUUGACGGUACCUAACCAGAAAGCCACGGCUAACUACGUGCCAGCAGCCGCCGUAA
rnacentral:rRNA from 1 species